CCUCGUCUCAGUCUACUUGGGGAAGGGGUAGCCUGGAAGGAUCUCUGCAAGAUUGAUGUGGGCGCGCACCACCUCCGGGCGCGCGCCUCCACACCCCCCCCUUUGUUCGCGCCUCUGCGCUUGCGCAUUACGACAAAUCUGGCGCUGUCCCCUUCAGCACCUCGCGGAACUCGCGCCACCCCUCCCCGCGGUGAGCCCCGCGCACCCCCGCUUCGAACGUCCUCGCACCCUCUGGCCACCCGAAUCGACCCUCUCUUUCUUCCCAGGUCAUAACUUGCCGGUCUUGGCCUUCCAAAGGAGAAUAGUUACCAUAGUAACUCGUGUGGCGUUUUCCUAAAAGAGCCAGACCCUUUUCCACCCUGGCCAAGGGCACAAGCUGAGCGGGGCCCAGCCUCUCUGCCUCUCUUCGAUUCCAGCUCCUGACGAGCAGCGGCCUGUCUGAAGAGCAUGCAGCCCCCUUACUCCCUGCCUGGCCUCGCCAUCCCUGCCCCCCCAGCCUGACCCCCCGGCUCCAGCAUGGCCCAGGGUGCCAUGCGCUUCUGCUCAGAAGGCGACUGUGCCAUCUCCCCACCACGAUGUCCUCGUCGCUGGCUCCCCGAAGGCCCAGUGCCCCAAAGUCCCCCAGCCAGCAUGUAUGGCAGCACAGGAUCCCUUAUACGACGAGUGGUGGGCCCAGGUCCUCGAGGCCGGGAUCUGGGACGUGUGACAGCACCUUGUACCCCUCUGCGAGCCCCUCCCUCACCCCAUAUAGCUCCCUCACCCUGGGGACCCUCUUCACCCACUGGGCAGCCUCCACCAGGGGCACAGAGUUCUGUGGUCAUCUUCCGUUUUGUGGAGAAGGCCAGUGUGAGGCCACUGAAUGGCCUACCUGCUUCUGGAGGCCUGAGUCGGAGCUGGGACCUGGGCGGGAUUUCUGCCCCCAGGCCCACCCCAGCCCUUGGACCUGGCUGCAACCGGAAGUUGCGGCUAGAGGCAUCCACAUCAGACCCACUCCCAGCUGGAGGAGGCUCUGUUCUUCCUGGCAGCAGGGACCCCUCACGUGGACCAUUGGUCCCACCCCAGAUCGGGGCAGAUGGGCUUUACUCCUCCCUCCCCAAUGGGCUGGGGGGGACCCCUGAGCACCUGGCCAUGCACUUCCGAGGACCUGCAGACACCGGAUUCCUAAACCAGGUAUGAAAUCUGCCUUGGGCUGCCUGGGGCCCUAGUACCUCAGCUAAGGGACAAAUCUCAGCCCCUGUUGGACUGAGGUUUGUCUUACAGUCACCCAAAUCCUUUAAUGUCCUAAAUGAGCUUUUAUUGCCCUCUGUCACUGUAUCCCUGCACCUUCAUCUCUGUCCCGUGUGGUUUUCUUUCUGGAACUCCAUAUUCUUGUGUCUGUCUGUCUGGUUCUCAUUGGGGUCCUGUGCCUUUCACUCCCUCUUUGGCUCAGGGGGACACCUGGUCCUCCCCCCGGGAAGUCUCCUCUCAUGCCCAGAGAAUCGCUCGAGCCAAGUGGGAAUUCUUCUAUGGCUCCUUGGACGCCCCCAGCUCAGGUAAGGCUUGAACUUAGCCCAGGGGAGGAGGGCAGGACCUUCUCUACAGCAGCUGAGGCCUGGCAAAGAGGCAUCCCUUCAAACCUCCCUCCUGUUUGGCUUCCCUGGGCUCCUAAGUCAGCCAAAAGUCUCUCCAGGCUCCAGUCUUUCAUCUGUGUCCUGAGGGUUGGGCUGGGCUCUGGAGGAAGCUGGAUAGUAGAGGAGGGGAGGUCCAGAUAUCAGGGGUUACUCCUAGGACUAGAAAAUAGUCUGGUUUCUUCAUAGUUAUUUGAUAGGGGCUUGAUUUAAGAUGAGUCCCGCCGGCAUUUGGAUCAAGUAAAGGGUGUGGCAGAUAGACAGUAGUAAAUGAUGAAGAGUUUCCAGCCCAUGUAAGACCGUGGGGAAGCUAUCCAACAUGACUUACCUCCUGACCUUGCUAUCUAUGCAUACAGGUGCUAAGCCCCCAGAGCAGGUCCUCCCAUCACGUGGGGUGGGCUCCAAGCAAGGCUCUGGGGUGGCUGUGGGGCGAGCAGCCAAGUACUCCGAGACAGACCUGGACAAGGUGCCCCUGAGGUGCUACCGAGAGACUGACAUCGAUGAGGUGCUGGCUGAGCGGGAGGAGGCCGACUCUGCCAUUGAGAGUCAGCCCAGCUCUGAGGGCCCCCAUGGCACUGCCCAACCACCUGCCUCACGACCUAGCCCAUGCCCUGGCCCUUCUUCCAGUCUGGGCAGUGGCAACGAAGAUGAUGAGGCAGGAGGUGAAGAGGAUGUGGAUGAUGAGGUGUUCGAGGCCUCGGAGGGGGCCCGGCCAGGGGACCACAUGCCUCACUCUGGGCUUCUCAAGUCACCAGUACCCUUCCUGCUUGGGACCAGCCCCUCAGCGGAUGGGCCUGACUCCUUCAGUUGUGUGUUUGAAGCUAUCUUGGAGUCACACCGGGCCAAGGGCACCUCCUAUAGUAGCCUUGCCUCCCUGGAGGCACUGGCCUCACCUGGCCCAACCCAGAGCCCCUUCUUCACCUUUGAGAUGCCUCCCCAGCCCCCAGCUCCCAGGCCUGACCCACCUGCACCUGCCCCACUUGCCCCUCUUGAACCUGAUUCUGGCACCAGCUCUGCUGCUGAUGGUCCUUGGACCCAGAGAAGGGAGGUGGAAGAGUCAGAUGCUGGGGCCACGCUGGCCCCAAGGAAGGAGCUUCCUAGUCCCUCCCACUCUGAGGAUAGCUUUGGGCUGGGGGCAGCACCCCUAGGCAGCAGUGAACCACCCCUAAGUCAGCUGGUAUCCGACUCAGACUCAGAGCUGGACAGCACAGAGCGGCUGGCCCUGGGAAGCACAGACACCUUGUCCAAUGGACAGAAAGCAGAUUUGGAGGCUGCACAGCGCCUAGCCAAGAGGCUAUACCGACUCGAUGGCUUCAGGAAGGCCGAUGUGGCACGGCAUCUGGGCAAGAACAAUGACUUCAGCAAAUUGGUGGCUGGCGAGUAUCUGAAGUUUUUUGUCUUCACGGGCAUGACUCUGGACCAAGCUCUCAGGGUAUUUCUAAAGGAGCUGGCCUUAAUGGGUGAGACCCAGGAGCGGGAGCGUGUACUGGCCCACUUCUCCCAGCGAUAUUUCCAGUGUAAUCCUGAAGCCCUGUCCUCAGAGGACGGUGCUCACACGCUGACCUGUGCCCUCAUGCUCCUCAACACAGAUCUCCAUGGCCAUAACAUUGGGAAGCGCAUGACCUGUGGGGACUUCAUCGGAAACCUGGAGGGCCUCAAUGAUGGUGGCGACUUCCCCAGGGAGCUGCUCAAGGCCUUGUACAGCUCCAUCAAGAAUGAAAAAUUGCAAUGGGCCAUAGACGAGGAGGAGCUGCGACGGUCUCUGUCCGAGUUGGCCGAUCCUAACCCCAAGGUCAUCAAGCGGGUCAGCGGAGGCAGUGGCAGCAGUUCCAGCCCCUUCCUGGACCUGACUCCUGAGCCCGGGGCAGCUGUCUACAAGCACGGGGCCCUGGUGCGAAAGGUGCACGCAGACCCUGACUGCAGGAAGAGAGGAGUAUCAGCCUGGGAAGGCUCUUUCCGAGGCAGAGCUGAAGAAUGCUAUCAGCAUCCACCACGCCCUGGCUACCCGCGCCAGCGAUUAUAGCAAGAGACCACACGUCUUCUACCUGCGCACAGCUGACUGGCGGGUCUUCCUCUUCCAGGCUCCGAGCCUGGAGCAAAUGCAGUCCUGGAUCACUCGCAUCAAUGUGGUGGCUGCCAUGUUUUCUGCACCCCCCUUCCCAGCUGCUGUUAGCUCCCAGAAGAAAUUCAGCCGCCCUCUGCUGCCCAGUGCUGCCACCCGCCUCUCCCAGGAGGAGCAGGUGAGGACCCAUGAGGCCAAGCUGAAGGCCAUGGCCAGCGAGCUGAGAGAGCACCGGGCUGCACAUCUGGGAAAGAAGGCCCGAGGCAAGGAGGCGGAUGAGCAGCGGCAGAAGGAGGCCUACCUGGAGUUUGAGAAAUCCCGCUACGGCACCUAUGCAGCACUGCUUCGAGUCAAGAUGAAGGCAGCCAGCGAGGAGCUGGACACCAUAGAGGCAGCCCUGGCCCAGGCUGGGAGCACGGAGGAUGGAUGCCCUCCGCCUCACUCCAGUCCUUCCCUGCGGCCCAAGCCCACCAGCCAGCCCCGGGCUCAGCGUCCUGGCUCAGAAACCCGGGCUGGAGCAGGCAGUACAAGGCCAAAGCCCUGAGCAGGGCAUAGGAGCGAUGGGGGCAGUGCCCGCUGGGCACCUGCAUGAUGACAUACACGGUCCUGCCUGAGCUCAGCUAGCCUCGGGCCAGCCACGAGGGCCUCCUGGUCCAGGGCCCGACCGCGCCGGACGCGGUGUCCGGGGCAGGGCAGGGCUGAGCCGGGCCUCAGAGCCUAGGCUGAGGGCCUCUCAGAGACCCCCUUUUUGUGAUAAUGUUUUGCACUUUUUCGUACAGGAAGGGUGGGAGGGGCCCAUGCCCCUAAUUUUUGAUGGGGGUUUCCUUUCCUUUCCUUCUUUCUUUUUUUUUUUUCUUCCUUUUUUUUUUCGUGGGGGAGGCCUGAUCAAGUUUCUGCUUUCUGCUGAGACCACCUCACCCUUACACCAGCAACACCCCUCCAUCCUGGGGCCUGGCUCAGACAGAAGCCAGGAGUUGGGGCUGAGCUGGUCCCCCUAUUCCUCCCCAAGGGCUCACCUCUCUCUUUGCAGAGACAGAGGAAGGGCAUCCACUUUGAGGCCCCAUCCACAGGCUGGGGUGGCACGGCCUGCUUCCCUUCUUUGGUGGGCCCUACCCUUUGUACAGCCUCCACCCUCAUUAAAACUGCUCUGAAUUGC